rnacentral:rRNA from 1 species
AUUGCACGCUAGCGGGAUGCCUUACACAUGCAAGUCGAACGGAGUGGCGAACGGGUGAGUAAUGUAUCGGAACGUGCCCAGUAGCGGGGGAUAACUACGCGAAAGCGUAGCUAAUACCGCAUACUAUCGGAGCGGCCUAUAUCGGAUUAGCUAGUUGGUGGGGUAACGGCUCACCAAGGCGACGAUCCGUAGCUGGUUUGAGAGGACGACCAGCCACACUGGGACUGAGACACGGCCCAGACUCCUACGGGAGGCAGCAGUGGGGAAUUUUGGACAAGGGGGGAAAGCCUGAUCCAGCCAUGCCGCGUGUGCGAUGAAGGACUUCGGGUUGUAAAGCACUUUUAGCAGGAAAGCGGUACCUGCAGAAUAAGCACCGGCUAACUACGUGCCAGCAGCCGCGGUAAUUC